GAGACAGUUCGGUCCCUAUCUGGUGUGGGCGCAGGAGAAUUGAAGGGAGUUGUCCCUAGUACGAGAGGACCGGGAUGAACAGACCUCUUGUGUACGAGCUGUCCCGCCAGGGGCAUCGCUCGGUAGCGAAGUCUGGAAGAGAUAAUUGCUGAAUGCAUCUAAGCAAGAAGCUCGCCCUAAGAUAAGUUCUCCCAAGGUUUAUGACCUAAGAAGGGCAGUCGAAGACUACGACUUUGAUAGGCUGGAGGUGGAAGCACAGCAAUGUGUGAAGCUGACCAGUACUAAUCGCCCGUUCGGCUUAAUCAUAAAACU
rnacentral:rRNA from 1 species